CACCUGUCAGUAGAAAACCAAAAUUAUUUUCCCAAAAGAUACCGAGAGAGAAAAUAAUCAGCACUUCCACUAUGCUUCCACAUCCAACUUCUUGGAAGCAACAUGGUUAUCCAUGCAAUCUAGCACCAAAAGAGUUUUCCUGAUAGAGGUUUCAAAGCCUUUAUGUUUAUAAGACAAGUUCCCCUGUGGAGUGAGACUGUCCCAAACCCCUCAGGUUUUAGAGUGAAUGGCGACUCGGACUACACUAUGCAGAUACACGAAUGAGGUAAAAAAGCAGUUAAUAACAUAGCAGAUGAAAGUGUUAAAACAUCAAAAGACAAGCAAUCUUGAGGAGGUACCUAGGUGAUAAGCACACAACACGUGAACAACAAAGGAUCAAAUAUGUAAACAAGAACAUAUUGCCAUGUUUAAUUUAUUAAUAACAUGAUCACAUUCCUAAUGAUGUUUCUAUUUCAAGUGACAUACUAGCACUAUUUUGAAGUUCCUCGAUAAAAAUUAAAAGGUUUUUUGGUUUUUUCCAUUUCUAUGAGAUUGGACCACUGUAGAAAUGGCAAUUACAGUACUCACGGUCAGAGUGAGUGAUGCAAGCUUCCAUUGGCACACCCCAUACUGCAUCUGGGUCGUCAUCAGAUUUGCAGAGAGGAGGCUGGGUGCCGGGUUCUCUUUCCAUGUAACAGUCAUUUGUCAGAGGCUUGACCCAGAUAACUGUUUGAUUCCUUUUAGCAGCUAUCUUCCAACACAUUCAUUCAACAAGGGCGCUCAUUUCUUUCCAGAUUCUCAGAUCCUCUUCAUCUUGUGCAUAGGCUUCAGGGGAUGAGUAUGCAAAGUAGCCUCCAGGUCUAAGCAACCUAUCUAGCUCAAGAAGAAGGAUUCCAUUUCUUUGAAGCCAAUCAAUCCUACAACGAGAACAAUGUGCAAGUUCAAAAGAUCUGCUCGGGUAAGGAAGUCUCUUUGUCCCUAAAACACCAAGGUAUGCAGGGAUUCCUCUUUCCAAGGCAAACUGGAUCUGGUUUUGAUGAACAUCAUUUGGUGCCAAUGACAUUGCAAUCAUAUCAGAAGAAAGCAUAUAUCCCCCAAAACUCGCAACUCCACAACCAACAUCAAGUACUGUCCGGAGCCUUCCUCCAUUGUUUAAAAUGUUUUUUGGAAAGUUCAGCAUCUGCCGACCAGAAAUAUAAACAAAAUAAAAAAAAACUGGGACUGUUUGGAGAUAGCAUGUGCAGUCAAACAUAAUAUUGCAUCACCAGGAUUUCAAUGAAACGCAAUUGAUUGAA